rnacentral:rRNA from 1 species
UUAAAUUGAAGAGUUUGAUCAUGGCUCAGAUUGAACGCUGGCGGCAGGCCUAACACAUGCAAGUCGAACGGUAACAGGAAGCAGCUUGCUGCUUCGCUGACGAGUGGCGGACGGGUGAGUAAUGUCUGGGAAACUGCCUGAUGGAGGGGGAUAACUACUGGAAACGGUGGCUAAUACCGCAUAACGUCGCAAGACCAAAGAGGGGGACCUUCGGGCCUCUUGCCAUCAGAUGUGCCCAGAUGGGAUUAGCUUGUUGGUGAGGUAACGGCUCACCAAGGCGACGAUCCCUAGCUGGUCUGAGAGGAUGACCAGCCACACUGGAACUGAGACACGGUCCAGACUCCUACGGGAGGCAGCAGUGGGGAAUAUUGCACAAUGGGCGCAAGCCUGAUGCAGCCAUGCCGCGUGUAUGAAGAAGGCCUUCGGGUUGUAAAGUACUUUCAGCGGGGAGGAAGGUGUUGUGGUUAAUAACCACAGCAAUUGACGUUACCCGCAGAAGAAGCACCGGCUAACUCCGUGCCAGCAGCCGCGGUAAUACGGAGGGUGCAAGCGUUAAUCGGAAUUACUGGGCGUAAAGCGCACGCAGGCGGUCUGUCAAGUCGGAUGUGAAAUCCCCGGGCUCAACCUGGGAACUGCAUUCGAAACUGGCAGGCUUGAGUCUUGUAGAGGGGGGUAGAAUUCCAGGUGUAGCGGUGAAAUGCGUAGAGAUCUGGAGGAAUACCGGUGGCGAAGGCGGCCCCCUGGACAAAGACUGACGCUCAGGUGCGAAAGCGUGGGGAGCAAACAGGAUUAGAUACCCUGGUAGUCCACGCCGUAAACGAUGUCUACUUGGAGGUUGUGCCCUUGAGGCGUGGCUUCCGGAGCUAACGCGUUAAGUAGACCGCCUGGGGAGUACGGCCGCAAGGUUAAAACUCAAAUGAAUUGACGGGGGCCCGCACAAGCGGUGGAGCAUGUGGUUUAAUUCGAUGCAACGCGAAGAACCUUACCUGGUCUUGACAUCCACAGAACUUUCCAGAGAUGGAUUGGUGCCUUCGGGAACUGUGAGACAGGUGCUGCAUGGCUGUCGUCAGCUCGUGUUGUGAAAUGUUGGGUUAAGUCCCGCAACGAGCGCAACCCUUAUCCUUUGUUGCCAGCGGUUAGGCCGGGAACUCAAAGGAGACUGCCAGUGAUAAACUGGAGGAAGGUGGGGAUGACGUCAAGUCAUCAUGGCCCUUACGACCAGGGCUACACACGUGCUACAAUGGCGCAUACAAAGAGAAGCGACCUCGCGAGAGCAAGCGGACCUCAUAAAGUGCGUCGUAGUCCGGAUUGGAGUCUGCAACUCGACUCCAUGAAGUCGGAAUCGCUAGUAAUCGUGGAUCAGAAUGCCACGGUGAAUACGUUCCCGGGCCUUGUACACACCGCCCGUCACACCAUGGGAGUGGGUUGCAAAAGAAGUAGGUAGCUUAACCUUCGGGAGGGCGCUUACCACUUUGUGAUUCAUGACUGGGGUGAAGUCGUAACAAGGUAACCGUAGGGGAACCUGCGGUUGGAUCACCUCCUUACCUGAAAGAA